CCUCUUUGAGCAAUAAAACAAUUGCUCAUCUUAUCGAUAAAAUCUUACCAGGACAGAGAAACUUCCACAUGGUAUUUUCAGGGGUGCUAGUCACUCCCUGCGGGACUUUCAUUAAUUUCUUCACCUCGAUUCCCAUGUGGUAAUUCCUAAGGCCCAGUUUAAAGAUGGGUUGAUACUCUACAGUGGCAGAGAGGAGAAUUUCUAAUUGUUUCUGUUCUGCAUUAUGGAUUAAUUUCUGUACUCACUUCCUCAAUGUACAACUAAGGUGACAGUUAUAUAAAAUCAUACACAAUAAAAUCAGGACUAUAAUAACAAAAUGAUAGAAGAAUGAUUUCAUUAUCUGGAAUCCAGUAGGGGACCAACCAGUAAAGCAUUGUACCAAUUAUGGGCUAAAUCAUUCUGAAUUUGUGAACUCACCUUAAGGAGUUCUCCUUUUAGGAUAUGUGUGGCUACCUGUGUGUGUUAUCUUUGGGAAAAAUAUAGUCCCCUGUGUAUGUGGGUGCCCACCAGGUUAAAUUCUUGGCAAAAAGAUCAUAAACUGGUACUGGUAAUGUGUUAAAUUGACAAGCUAAUUUAACAUCCUUUGAUGUUGUAUG